CUGAGUUUGAUCCUGGCUCAGGACGAACGCUGGCGGCGUGCUUAACACAUGCAAGUCGAACGAUGAAGCCCAGCUUGCUGGGUGGAUUAGUGGCGAACGGGUGAGUAACACGUGAGUAACCUGCCCUUGACUCUGGGAUAAGCGCUGGAAACGGCGUCUAAUACCGGAUACGACCUGCCCCGGCAUCGGGUGCGGGUGGAAAGUUUUUCGGUCAAGGAUGGACUCGCGGCCUAUCAGCUUGUUGGUGAGGUAAUGGCUCACCAAGGCGACGACGGGUAGCCGGCCUGAGAGGGUGACCGGCCACACUGGGACUGAGACACGGCCCAGACUCCUACGGGAGGCAGCAGUGGGGAAUAUUGCACAAUGGGCGAAAGCCUGAUGCAGCAACGCCGCGUGGGGGAUGACGGCCUUCGGGUUGUAAACCUCUUUUAGUAGGGAAGAAGGACUUCGGUUUGACGGUGCCUGCAGAAA
rnacentral:rRNA from 1 species